ensembl:snRNA U6 U6 spliceosomal RNA
GUGCUCACUUUGGCAGCACAUAUAUUAAAAUUGGAAUGAUACAGAGAUUAACAUGGCCCCUGUGCAAGGAAGACAUACAAAUUUGUGAAGUGUUCCAUAUUUUU